UACAGAGGUCUCAAGCGUUGUUCGGAUUCAUUGGGCGUAAAGGGUGCGUAGGUGGCGGGGUAAGUCAGGUGUGAAAUUUCGGAGCUUAACUCCGAAACUGCAUUUGAUACUGCCUUGCUUGAGGACUGGAGAGGAGACUGGAAUUCACGGUGUAGCAGUGAAAUGCGUAGAGAUCAGGAAGAACACCGGUGGCGAAGGCGCUCUGCUAGGCCGCAACUGACACUGAGGGACGAAAGCUAGGGGAGCGAAUGGG
rnacentral:rRNA from 1 species